rnacentral:rRNA from 1 species
GACGAACGCUGGCGGCAGGCCUAACACAUGCAAGUCGAACGAGUGGCGGACGGGUGAGUAAUGUCUGGGAAACUGCCCGAUGGCGGGGGAUAACUACUGGAAACGGUAGCUAAUACCGCAUACCAUCGGAUGUGCCCAGAUGGGAUUGGCUAGUCGGGGGGGUAACGGCUCACCUAGGCGACGAUCCCUAGCUGGUCUGAGAGGAUGACCAGCCAGACUGGAACGGAGACACGGUCCAGACUCCUACGGGAGGCAGCAGUGGGGAAUAUUGCGCAAGGGGGGAAAGCCUGAUGCAGCCAUGCCGCGUGUAUGAAGAAGGCCUUCGGGUUGUAAAGUACUUUCAGCGAGGAGGCGGUACUCGCAGAAGAAGCACCGGCUAACUCCGUGCCAGCAGCCGCGGUAAUAC